UCCUAGGAACCUGGCUGGGUGAUCCUGGGAGGUGAUCCUGGGAGGUGAUCCUGGGAGGUGAUCCUGGGAGGUGAUUCUGGGAGGUGAUCCUGGGAGGUGAUCCUGGGAGGUGAUUCUGGGAGGUGAUCCUGGGAGGUGAUUCUGGGAGAAGAUCCUGGGAGGUGAUUCUGGGAGGUGAUCCUGGGAGGUGAUCCUGGGAGGUGAUCCUGGGAGGUGAUCCUGGGAGGUGAUUCUGGGAGGUGAUCCUGGGAGGUGAUCCUGGGAGGUGAUCCUGGGAGGUGAUCCUGGGAGGUGAUUCUGGGAGGUGAUUCUGGGAGAAGAUCCUGGAAGGUGAUCCUGGGAGGUGAUUCUGGGAGGUGAUUCUGGCUGGGUGAUCCUGGGAGGUGAUUCUGGGAGAAGAUUCUGGGAGGUGAUUCUGGGAGGUGAUCCUGGGAGAAGAUUCUGGGAGGUGAUUCUGGGAGGUGAUCCUGGGAGGUGAUCCUGGGAGGUGAUCCUGGGAGGUGAUUCUGGGAGAAGAUUCUGGGAGGUGAUUCUGGGAGGUGAUUCUGGGAGGUGAUUCUGGGAGGUGAUUCUGGGAGGUGAUUCUGGGAGAAGAUCCUGGGAGGUGAUUCUGGGAGGUGGUUCUGGGAGGUGAUUCUGGGAGGUGAUUCUGGGAGAAGAUCCUGGGAGGUGAUUCUGGGAGGUGAUUCUGGGAGAAGAUCCUGGGAGGUGAUUCUGGGAGGUGAUUCUGGGAGGUGAUCCUGGGAGGUGAUCCUGGGAGGUGAUCCUGGCCCUCUCCACCUUCACUUUCCCUCCAUGGGGGGAGGGGGUGUUUCUCUUUGAGGUCCACCUAUACCCAGGAGCCUCUGGACACUUGGCUGUCUAUGGCCAGGGCGCCCCCGCUCCCAAGCAGGGCUCUCUGCCCCCUAAGGCAGGGGCUUGGGAAGGGACCGGCCUGGGGGGGCCUUUAGCCCCCUCAUGCGGGGCUGGGCGCCUCUACCUG